AGUGAACGCUGGCGGUAGGCCUAACACAUGCAAGUCGAACGGCAGCACAGUAAGAGCUUGCUCUUACGGGUGGCGAGUGGCGGACGGGUGAGGAAUACAUCGGAAUCUACUAUUUCGUGGGGGAUAACGUAGGGAAACUUACGCUAAUACCGCAUACGACCUACGGGUGAAAGCAGGGGAUCUUCGGACCUUGCGCGAUUGAAUGAGCCGAUGCCGGAUUAGCUAGUUGGCGGGGUAAAGGCCCACCAAGGCGACGAUCCGUAGCUGGUCUGAGAGGAUGAUCAGCCACACUGGAACUGAGACACGGUCCAGACUCCUACGGGAGGCAGCAGUGGGGAAUAUUGGACAAUGGGCGCAAGCCUGAUCCAGCCAUACCGCGUGGGUGAAGAAGGCCUUCGGGUUGUAAAGCCCUUUUGUUGGGAAAGAAAAGCAGCAGGUUAAUACCCCGCUGUUCUGACGGUACCCAAAGAAUAAGCACCGGCUAACUUCGUG
rnacentral:rRNA from 1 species